GUCCAAGCUUCGAAUAUACAGUUGCAAGAAAAAGUAUGUGAACCCUUUGGAAUGAUAUGGAUUUCUGCACAAAUUAGUCAUAAAAUGUGAUCAUCAUCUAAGUCACAACAAUAGACAAUCACAGUCUGCUUAAACUAAUAACACACAAAGAAUGAAAUGUCUUUAUCACAGACAUUAAAAGAAUGGACUAAUAUAAAGAAGAAGUUGAAUAUUAAUAGAAAACUAUUUGAGAG